UAUGUUAAGUGACAGUUGGACCAAAGUGGCCGCUGUUGAUAAUUAAAAUUUGCUUUGUGACUUUUUUUCAUUGGACGUUUAAUACCCAUUUUAUGGCACACGCUUUUAUCACUCAAACAGAGGAGGAAAAGGACUUGGCAAAGGAGGCGCCAAACGUCAUCGCAAAGUUUUGCGUGAUAACAUCCAAGGUAUCACCAAGCCGGCCAUCCGUCGUCUUGCUCGCCGUGGUGGUGUGAAGCGUAUCUCUG
rnacentral:misc_RNA from 1 species